UAUAUAUAUAUAUAUAUAUAUAUAUAUAUUCCUUAAGCACAUUACAGUACAUGCUUAAGGAGAAGGAGGUGUCAUGAGGUUUGAUGAACCAAUCAGGGAAAAGCUUUGGUGUAACCAUAUGAGUUGACAGAAACACAAAUAUAUAUACUUCCUUUAUCGCAUAAAAUGCUAAUGAUGUUUUUCGUCCUUCAUCAGACAGAAAUAUUUUUACAUGUUAAAGACAUACUGUCAAAAACAUAAACAAUUACUAACAAAAUAAUGUUUGAUUAAUACCUCAGAUGGAAUAAAUGCUCAUUAAUAGGCUGAAUGCUUUCAUUUUUUGAAGAAACUUCCUGCUCUCCCACUCUAACCAUGACUGCCUUGAUGGUUCAUAAUCCAUGGAGCGGCGCUGCGUCACAGCUCGCCCCGUCAGCAGGGGCGGUCACGUGACCACGGGGGGCCGAGGGGGCAUUACCUCCUUUAUUUACACAUGAGGAAAAUAAUGGAGGAAAACCCAAAGCGAAGUUCAGUCCUACACAGCAAAUUCAAAAGUGGUAGAUUUCCAGUGUUGGUGUUGUGUGUUAAAAAUCCAGUGUUAAUUCAACACUUAAACAUUUUAGUCAAAUUCAACAACAUGAGUUAGUUGGUGUUAUACCAGAGAGUUAAAUAAAAGCAAUUCUGUCUGGUGUUGAUUUCUAAAUUAACACCAGACAGUUCCUUCCGUAUUUGUGACGUCACGUGUUUGCCCGAGGGGCGGAGACAGCAGUAUGGCGUCAGGUCUGGAGCUUAUCAUAACAAGACUCCUGGUGCAUGAUGAGGAGGAGGCGGAUCUGGAUCUGGAUCUGGGUCCAUCCAUCCAUCCAUCCAUCCGUCUGUCCAUCCGUCCAUCCGUCCUUCCAUCCAUCCAUCAUGAGGGUCUGGGAACAGCCAUUGACACUCAGAGGGUCUUGGGGAUCGGAGGUGUCCUUCUCUACAUCACCUCUUUUUCAGCUUCUGAAUGGGGAGUAGCAACCAGUUGGGGUGGGGGCUCAGGAAUGGAGCUCAGCCUCUUUUAGAGUCUGGAGCUCCUUGGUAAUGGGGGUUCCUGUUUGUCCUGGAGGAUGAAGGCCCGGUCCCAAUCUUUUCCCUUCCUCCCUCGUUCCGCCCUUUAGAUGCUUGUUGAAGGUUUGAGUGCGUAGUGCAGCCCAAUUUUCCACUUCUGGCUUUAGCCCCGCCCCCUUUUGACCUCUGGACACACCACAUGCCAGUUCCAUAUCUUAUGUCGAAAUGGCACCAUUGCACUCCAGAACAGAAGGGGGCGCUAUUUCCUGUAUUAGGGCUAGGGUUACCCUUCAGUGAGGAGGAAGAGGAGGGAUGAAGACGAUCCUUCUGGUUUUACAGAAACAUCUGGAAGCAAAUGUUUGAUCUGUCUCACGUUGCAGACGAAGAGGUCAAAGGUCACAGAGGAGCGACCCUGCAGCCUGGAUCAGAACCAGAACGUUAACUGAAUGAAGUUUUCUUUCUAAAGCUGAACAUGCAUGAGAAACAGAAACAGGGAUAAACUUGAGUCUGAUAGUAGGAAAGUUCCCAAACUAAUUCAGAUUUUCCUAAAAGACUGAAAUCUUUUUCAGUCUUUUUAUUUUAUUUUAUAUCUGAUUAUUAAUCCGAAUAAUAUUCAGAUUUUCCUGAAUGUAUUCAUUCACACUGAGAAUCUGGUUGAACAAAAAGCAUUUUUUAAAUAAACAUCAAAAGGUUUUCUGACAAUAGUGGGAAGAUUUGUGUCUAAAAUGUUUAAAGCUUGUUUAACUGUUGGUUUUAGAGUCUGAUUCAUAAGUGGCAUAGUAAUGAAAUAUAACAUGAUCUUUAGAGUUAAAUAGUUUCUAAUAAGGUUAAACUUCAACUUUGUUGUUUCAGUCUGAGAUAAAUCACUGAUUCUAUGACUUAGUUGCAUUUUAAUCCUCUUAUCUGUUUUUAAUAGAAAUACUUUGAUCCAUUUCAGCUUUUCCCUUUUUUUUAAAGGUUUUAUUGGCUCUAGUGGCCUUCAUUUGAUAGUUACUUGACAGGAAAGUGGGUAAUGAGAGAAGGGGGAAGACAUGCGGCAAAGGUCGCCAGGCCGGGAAUCGAACCUGCGACAGCCGCAACGAGAACUAAGGCCUCCUUAAGUGGGUUGUGCUUAACCCCUGCGCUACCACAGCACAUCCCAGCUUUUCCCUUUUUUAAGAUGUAAACAGUUUGGAGACAGAUUAAAAUUAACUUCAGUCUGAAACAACGAGAUAAAAAUCAGAUUUAAAAUAUUUAAGAGGUUUAUUUGGUGGUAGAGUAGGAACGUUUUCUUGUCUUUUCCUUUAUGAUGAGUGAUGUCAGAUUUAUAGAUCAAGAGAUGAGAACGUUUCACUCUGAUUGACUUGAAAAGCAAAAUAAAUGUGAAUAACACUUGAAGAUUUGCAUAAUGAUGUUAAUAGAUCAGAUUUAUAAUUAAAACUGUGGAGAAUCCAACCAAUCAGGGCCUGAAAAAUGUCUGUGGCUUCUGGAUUUUUAUCAAACUGGGAGAAACAAACGGCUGACGGACAACAGAGGGCAGAACUUUAUUUUACAAGACAAAUAUGGAAAACAAAAAGUGCUGAACAGUUUAAAUAAAACCUAAAUUAUUAAAACCGAUAAGCAACAAAACAUCAGAAACUUCCUUCUGAAUCACCGAGGAACCGGACAGGAACCAGAUUGCAACCAGAUCAGAACCUCGCCAGUGGAGACGCUGCAGAGGAUCAUCUGGAGCACAUCAUGGUUCUGGUUCUGAUCCAUAAUUGGAUCAGAAUUCCACCUAUGAUGGCUAACUAUUAAAAACAAAUAAAACCAUUUCUGAGCGAGGAAAACUUCCCGCCUACCCGGCCGCUCUUUCUAGGCACUGAAGGAAGAAGCAGCUGCGUCCCAACAUAAGGCUUUUAAAGCAGAAAAUCUGAACCCAGGAAAGAAA